rnacentral:rRNA from 1 species
AUUGAACGCUGGCGGUAGGCCUAACACAUGCAAGUCGAGCGCGAAAGUGCCUUCGGGUGCGAGUAGAGCGGCGGACGGGUGCGUAACGCGUAGGAAUCUGCCUGGUAGUGGGGGAUAACUCGGGGAAACUCGAGCUAAUACCGCAUACGCCCCAUGGGGGAAAGCGGGGGACCUUCGGGCCUCGCGCUAUCAGAUGAGCCUGCGUCGGAUUAGCUAGUUGGUAGGGUAACGGCUUACCAAGGCGACGAUCGAUAGCUGGUCUGAGAGGAUGAUCAGCCACACUGGAACUGAGACACGGUCCAGACUCCUACGGGAGGCAGCAGUGGGGAAUAUUGGACAAUGGGCGCAAGCCUGAUCCAGCAAUGCCGCGUGUGUGAAGAAGGCCUUCGGGUUGUAAAGCACUUUUAUCGGGAGCGAAAUACCAUUGGUUAAUAACCGGUGGGGCUGACGGUACCCGAGGAAUAAGCACCGGCUAACUUCGUG